rnacentral:rRNA from 1 species
UACGGGGGGGGCAAGCGUUGUUCGGAAUUACUGGGCGUAAAGGGUUCGUAGGUGGCUUGUUAAGUCAGACGUGAAAACCCGUGGCUCAACUGCGGGCUUGCGGUCGAUACGGGCGGGCUAGAGUUCGGUAGGGGAGACUGGAAUUCCUGGUGUAGCGGUGAAAUGCGCAGAUAUCAGGAGGAACACCGGUGGCGAAGGCGGGUCUCUGGGCCGAUACUGACGCUGAGGAGCGAAAGCGUGGGGAGCGAACAGG